rnacentral:lncRNA from 1 species
AUGUCAUUUGCCAUAGGUGCCUCGAGUAGCCGCUGCCUGAUGGAUCACCGGGAUUUGUCACCCAGGCGAAGAAAGGCAGAACUGGGUAAUGUCCAGCUCCAGGCACCUACACAGGAAAAGACGAGGCUGCCCGGUACAAGGUGGGCUGCUCGGAAGAAAGGGAGCAUCUUCACGCAGAAGCGCACAGGAAGGACCAGACACAUCUGCUCUACAAGCGAGUCUCUUCAGUCACUGCUGAGCGGAACAGCCGCAUUCUGGGCACAGAGACCGAGGGAGGUGGAAUCAGGAAAGGGCCGGGUGCGAUCCUUCCACCUUCCCUCCACCCUGCCCCGCGAGCUGACAUACCUACAUCUGUCAUCAGAGAAGGUUCUUUCAGCUGGGCAGCAAAAAAAAAUGUGGAGCUCCCCACCAAAUUCUGAACCUCGCAGACAGAUGUAUUCAGGGUUACACUCGCUGUUCCUUCUCCUUCAGUGACAUCUUUUGGAUUUCUUCUCUGAUUUAAGCUGUCCCAGAUGCGGAUCCCAUAGUGUGGAUUAUGAAACAGACGUUUCCUGAGGAAGCAAGGUGGAUGGAUAUGAGAGGUGGUUGAGUGGCACCACUUCUGGUCAGCUGGUCAGAAGUAUAAAUGGUGCAGGUGGUCUAGAGAAAGCAUUUGGCCCUUAUAACUUACAUCGCCUUUUUAAAAUUGUCUUUGUAGGAUAUUAGAACCAAAAUGCUCCUCAAAUAUCACCUAUUUACUCUAUUUAUUUCUAAAUUUUGGUUGGCCAUGCAAUUCUUUUACCCAAACAAAGUCUUGUGCAGAGGAAGGCUAGUCAAACGAAAUACACACACACAGGUAAACCCAGAGUGAGUCAAACAGUGAUGGGCCCAUCCCUCCCACCUCCUGUGGCCCAUGGAAGGGGUCCAUGGAACUUCUAGGACCCCGUGGACUAGUUAGAAAAACACUCUCUAGUCCUUUGCUCAUCUACUAACAAGGAAACCUGGCUCCGGAGAGGAAGCCAGAUUCUGCUGGCCGCAGGGCUGGCAGCAAAGCUGGUUUUGGAGCUGGGUACCUGGUCUCCAG